rnacentral:lncRNA from 1 species
UGGCCUCUUGUCAUAUAUCAACCUUCAAGGAAGACAACGCUUCUUGAAAGCUAGUUAGAUUCUCUUCGAUUGUAUAAACCAUGUAACUAGGUUCACACUCUAUAGCAACUAUUGCUAUCUUACCUCUCCGAGGUUCCGUAACAUCUUGUUCGAUGUUCUCAUCACUGCUUCUGAUCACUGAAAUGUCAUCAGUUGCAUUACCCCCACUAGUGCCCCACUAUUUCUC